rnacentral:rRNA from 1 species
GCUGGUUCUCCCCGAAAUGCAUUUAGGUGCAGCGUCGUGUGUUUCUUGCCGGAGGUAGAGCACUGGAUAGGCGAUGGGCCCUACCGGGUUACUGACCUUAGCCAAACUCCGAAUGCCGGUAAGUGAGAGCGCGGCAGUGAGACUGUGGGGGAUAAGCUCCAUGGUCGAGAGGGAAACAGCCCAGAGCAUCGACUAAGGCCCCUAAGCGUGUGCUAAGUGGGAAAGGAUGUGGAGUCGCAGAGACAACCAGGAGGUUGGCUUAGAAGCAGCCAUCCUUGAAAGAGUGCGUAAUAGCUCACUGGUCAAGUGAUUCCGCGCCGACAAUGUAGCGGGGCUCAAGCACACCGCCGAAGUCAUGUCAUUGCAGUAUGUACUCCUAACGGGGACUGUGAUGGGUAGG